UCACUUGCAAAUGCGCAUUUCUACUAGUACACGAGAAAAGAAUCCAACACAAGAAUUUGCAGAAACCAACGGACAAUGCCGAAUUGUUAAACAGAAAUCUUUCAACAACAACAAUCACUGGUUGUCUACCUGAGAGUAUCUGGAAUCGCCAUCCGCAGCAGAGACACAUAGGUGAAACUUCCGGCAACCAGAAUAAGCAGUAGUCUCCAGAUAUUAACAUUUUUCCGUUCCAGCUAGAUAAGGCUCGAAGUUGAUAAAUCUGAGCCAUCAGAAUGUUUUUUGGUCAUGCUUCUGUUGUAAAUGCUCAAUGAUUCUAUAAUUACC
rnacentral:lncRNA from 1 species